rnacentral:rRNA from 1 species
AGAGUGAAGCGAAGGAGGUCAGUGAUCAUGGGGCCAGAUCCCCAAGUGCCUGUGAACAAUGGGCACCGUAGCGUUCUGGUUUUUCCCGGGGCAGCGCCGGCCGGGGGCGAGCGUCAACGGGGAGGUGGUUGAGGGAUGUAUUUCCCGCCUCUUACUCCCAUCUAGCUUGCCCUCCCCGGCCGAGGGAUCCGCGACUUGUCGUGUGAGGGCGCUGUCAAAAUGGCCUUCUCCACCCCGUCUUGAAACACGGACCAAGGAGUCUAACAUACUCGCGAGUGUUUGGGUGGUUAAAACCCGAACGCACAAUGAAAGUAAACGGUUGGCUCUGCGCCGCUGCUUGGUGGCAACCCUGCUCUUAUAACGGGGGGCACCAUCACCCGACCCCGAUCCCUUUGGGGUGGUUGGUUUUGAGGAAGAGCGAGUAUGAUGGGACCCGAAAGAUGGUGAACUAUUCCUGAGUAGGGCGAAGCCAGAGGAAACUCUGGUGGAGGCUCGUAGCGAUGCUGACGUGCAAAUCGCUCGUCGAACUUGGGUAUAGGGGCGAAAGACUAAUCGAACCAUCUAGUAGCUGGUUCCCUCCGAAGUUUCCCUCAGGAUAGCGGGAGCAAAUGCAAGUCAGUAUCAUCCGGUAAAGCGAAUGAUUAGAGGCCUCGGGGGAGUAACUCCUUCGACCUAUUCUCAAACUUUAAAUAGGUGAGGAGCCGGCCACGUUGCUUAAAACAAUGAACGCCGUGCGGACAAUGAU